UACGAACCGUGCGAACGUUAUUCGGAAUCACUGGGCUUAAAGCGCGUGUAGGCGGGCGGGUACGUCGGCGACUGAAAGCCCCCGGCUCAACCGGGGAAGGGGUGCCGAAACGGCCGGCCUGGAGGGGCGUAGGGGGACCUGGAACUUCCGGUGGAGCGGUGAAAUGCGUUGAGAUCGGAAGGAACGCCCGUGGCGAAAGCGAGGUCCUGGACGCCAUCUGACGCUGAGACGCGAAAGCGUGGGGAGCGAACAGG
rnacentral:rRNA from 1 species